GACGAACGCUGGCGGCGUGCUUAACACAUGCAAGUCGAACGGAAAGGCCCUGCUUUUGUGGGUUUCUCGAUUGGCGAACGGGUGAGUAACACGUGAGUAACCUGCCCUUGACUGUGGGAUAACUUCAGGAAACUGGGGCUAAUACCGCAUAGGAGCUCCUGCUGCAUGGUGUGGGUUGGAAAGUGUGGGCGGUUGGGGAUGGACUCGCGGCUUAUCAGCUUGUUGGUGGGGUAGUGGCUUACCAAGGCUUUGACGGGUAGCCGGCCUGAGAGGGUGACCGGCCACAUUGGGACUGAGAUACGGCCCAGACUCCUACGGGAGGCAGCAGUGGGGAAUAUUGCACAAUGGGCGGAAGCCUGAUGCAGCAACGCCGCGUGCGGGAUGACGGCCUUCGGGUUGUAAACCGCUUUCGCCUGUGACGAAGCGUGAGUGACGGUAAUGGGUAAAGAAGCACCGGCUAACUACGUG
rnacentral:rRNA from 1 species